rnacentral:rRNA from 1 species
UACGGAGGGGGCAAGCGUUGUUCGGAAUGACUGGGCGUAAAGGGUGCGUAGGCGGUGUAGCAAGUUAGAAGUGAAAUACCUAGAGCUUAACUCAGGUGCUGCUUCUAAAACUGCUAUACUUGAGUGCAGUAGAGGAAAGUGGAAUUCCUAGUGUAGCGGUGGAAUGCGUAGAUAUUAGGAGGAACAUCAGUGGCGAAGGCGACUUUCUGGACUGUAACUGACGCUGAGGCACGAAAGUGUGGGGAGCAAACAGG